UGACCUCAGAUCAGUCGCGAGUACCCGCUGAACUUAAGCAUAUCAAUAAGCGGAGGAAAAGAAACUAACCAGGAUUCCCUUGGUAACGGCGAGUGAAGAGGGAAGAGCCCAGCACCGAAGCCUGCGGCAGUUUUGCUGUUAGGCAAUGUGGUGUGUGGGUCGGCUCGCGGGACCAUCACUCCACUCGAAGUCCAGCAUUGAGUAUGGCAUCACUGGAUUUGGCCCAUAGAGGGUGAGAGGCCCGUACGGGUGGAGGUUCAGACAUGUGAGAUGGUUCACCAGGCCGGCCUCAGAGUCGGGUUGUUUGAGAUUGCAGCCCAAAGAGGGUGGUAAACUCCAUCCAAGGCUAAAUACUGCCACGAGUCCGAUAGCGAACAAGUACCAUGAGGGAAAGUUGAAAAGUACUCUGAAGAGAGAGUAAACAGUACGUGAAGCCGCAUGCAGGUAAACGGG
rfam:Hymenolepis microstoma genomic scaffold, pathogens_HYM_contig_1933